UUCUUACAUUUAUGCAUUCCAUCCUAGUAUUGUCUUGCUCCCUGUCUGUGUAUUAACAAUGUACUUUUCCAUCUUUUAGUUACAACAUCACUGACGACUUGUAGCAUACUGACGAGCUGCAAUCCACACUAUUUGAGAACGGCACUUGCAACAUUGGAGUGGGCAGGAAUGUUUGGGCUUCUCCUCUAUAUGCCAACUUAUUCCAUGGAAUUUCAGAACCUGACUCUAAAAUGGCCCAAAAGCCUAAAAGGCGACUGGAUAUGCAAGAGGGAAGGAUCCACUGAUGUAGAGUCCCCUGAGGAACCAACAACUGUCACCUGCAGGCACAUGAUAACACUGUUACCCUCUGAUCAGCUAUUAGGCUCAGUGAUACCUAUUCAUAUACAGGGAGCUUACAGGGAUUGGAUGUUCAAAUGAGAAGCCCAGUCCCCCGAGGAUCCACAAAAACACCUGAAAGAGUGAAAAACAAAAUCUCCACAUUCAAGAAAAUAUUGAUUUAA